GAUGAACGCUGGCGGCGUGCCUAAUACAUGCAAGUCGAGCGAACAGACGAGGAGCUUGCUCCUCUGACGUUAGCGGCGGACGGGUGAGUAACACGUGGAUAACCUACCUAUAAGACUGGGAUAACUUCGGGAAACCGGAGCUAAUACCGGAUAAUAUAUUGAACCGCAUGGUUCAAUAGUGAAAGACGGUUUUGCUGUCACUUAUAGAUGGAUCCGCGCCGCAUUAGCUAGUUGGUAAGGUACGGCUUACCAAGGCGACGAUGCGUAGCCGACCUGAGAGGGUGAUCGGCCACACUGGAACUGAGACACGGUCCAGACUCCUACGGGAGGCAGCAGUAGGGAAUCUUCCGCAAUGGGCGAAAGCCUGACGGAGCAACGCCGCGUGAGUGAUGAAGGUCUUCGGAUCGUAAAACUCUGUUAUUAGGGAAGAACAAAUGUGUAAGUAACUAUGCACGUCUUGACGGUACCUAAUCAGAAAGCCACGGCUAACUACGUG
rnacentral:rRNA from 1 species